UUAGCCUAACUCUAGCCCCACCUCAUAAUCAAAACAAACCUCUUCUACCUUCAUAAAUAAAACAUUCUCACCAACCUAGUAUAGGCGAUAGAAAAGUACCCCCGGCGCUAUAGAGAUUACGUACCGUAAGGGAAAGAUGAAAUAACAAUGAUAAACCAAGCAACAAGCAGCAAAGCUAAAUCCUUGUACCUCUUGCAUCAUGAUUUAGCAAGCACAACCAAGCGAAAUGAUACUUUAAGUUUGCCUUCCCGAAACCUAAGCGAGCUACCUCCAAGCAGCUAUAUUUUGAGCAAACCCGUCUCUGUUGCAAAAGAGUGGGAAGACUUGUUGGUAGAGGUGAAAAGCCAACCGAGCUAGGUGAUAGCUGGUUACCUGCAAAACGAAUCUAAGUUCUCCCUUAAUUCUCCUACAAGGACACAAUAACUUGUUAAACCCACAUGAGACAAAUUAAGGAUUACCCAAAGGAGGUACAGCUCCUUUUAAAAAGAAUACACUCUCUUCUAGCGGAUAAGCCCCCCUUAAACAAACUGUGGGCCCUUAAGCAGCCACCAACAAAGAAUGCGUCAAAGCUCAAACCCAAAAAAUCCAAAAACUAUGCGAUUCCCUUACCCAUAGCAGGUCAACCUAUACACAAUAGGAGAACACAUGCUAAAAUGAGUAACUCGGACUACCCCUCUUCGGCGCAGACUUACAUCCCCCCAUUAUUAACGGCCUCCAAAAAUGCUAACCAACCCUAACAAGACCCAGCAUUCCAAUCAACCCCGUUAACCCAACACCACGGAGCGCCCAAAAAAGAAACGAUUAAAAUCUAUAGAAGGAACUAGGCAAACACAAGGCCCGACUGUUUACCAAAAACAUAGCCUUCAGCAAAACAAGUAUUGAAGGUGACGCCUGCCCAGUGACAAUACGUUCAACGGCCGCGGUAUCCUAACCGUGCAAAGGUAGCGCAAUCAAUUGUCUCAUAAAUCGGGACUUGUAUGAAUGGCUCAACGAGGUCUUAACUGUCUCCUAUAGAUAAUCAGUGAAAUUGAUCUCCCUGUGCAAAAGCAGGAAUAAUCCCAUAAGACGAGAAGACCCUGUGGAACUUAAAAAUCAGCAACCACCCCAUAAAAAUCCUCCCCUACUGGACAUCCCUACCCUUGGGACCACACUGGCUUGCAUUUUUCGGUUGGGGCGACCUUGGAGCACAACGAACCCUCCAAAGAUAAGACCACCCCUCUUAACCAAGAACAACCAAUCAACGUGCUAACAGUUACCAGACCCAAUAUAAUUGAUUAAUGGACCAAGCUACCCCAGGGAUAACAGCGCAAUCUCCUCCAAGAGCCCCCAUCGACGAGGAGGUUUACGACCUCGAUGUUGGAUCAGGACAUCCUAGUGGUGUAGCCGCUACUAAGGGUUCGUUUGUUCAACGAUUAAUAGUCCUACGUGAUCUGAGUUCAGACCGGAGUAAUCCAGGUCGGUUUCUAUCUAUGACCAACUCUUUCUAGUACGAAAGGACCGAAAGAAUAGGACCAAUGCUACAAGUAAGUCCUCGCUUAAAGCAGUGAACUCAACUAAACUGCCAAAAGCCAAAACACACUACCCAAUCCUAGAAAAGGAUCG
rnacentral:rRNA from 1 species